UCCGGCAAUCAUAUUCUCUGU
rnacentral:piRNA from 1 species